ensembl:rRNA 5S_rRNA 5S ribosomal RNA
GUUGAUGGACAUGCCACCCUGAACAAGCCCGAUCCCGUAUGAUCUCAGAAGUUAAGCAGGGUCAGGCCUGGUUAGUACUUGGAUGGGAGACUACCUAGGAAGACCAGGUGCUAUAGGUG